rnacentral:tRNA from 1 species
ACCUGGGUGGCUUGGUCGGUUAAGCAUCUGACUUCAGCUCAGGUCGUGAUCUCAAAGUCGUGGGAUUGAGCCCCAUAUCAGGCU